AGUGAAGGGAGUUUUUGCUAUAGGUGAGUGGAAGUAUGGGUUAUGGAAGGUUUUAGGUAGUGAGGUUUGUGAGUUUAAUGGAGGUGGAAAGGUUUUGAGAGAAAGAGAUUAAGAAUGAUGAGAUAGAAUGAUGAGAUGGUAAGACAAAAUCUGAUAAUGAUAAGGUUAAAAGAAAAACGUUGUGGUUAAUGGUGGAUUAAGUGGGUGGAUCCCACGAAAAAUUCAAAUUUUCAAAAAAAA
rnacentral:lncRNA from 1 species